rnacentral:rRNA from 1 species
GGGAUUGCCCCAGUAACGGCGAGUGAAGCGGCAACAGCUCAAAUUUGAAAUCUGGCCCCCCGGGCCCGAGUUGUAAUUUGCAGAGGAUGCUUCUGGCGCGGCGCCUUCCGAGUUCCCUGGAACGGGACGCCAUAGAGGGUGAGAGCCCCGUCUGGUCGGACGCCCAGCCUCUGUGAAGCUCCUUCGACGAGUCGAGUAGUUUGGGAAUGCUGCUCAAAAUGGGAGGUAUAUGUCUUCUAAAGCUAAAUACCGGCCAGAGACCGAUAGCGCACAAGUAGAGUGAUCGAAAGAUGAAAAGCACUUUGAAAAGAGGGUUAAACAGUACGUGAAAUUGUUGAAAGGGAAGCGCUUGUGACCAGACUCGGGCGGGGCGAAUCACCCGGCGUUCUCGCCGGUGCACUUCGCCUCGCCCGGGCCAGCAUCGGUUCGCGGCGGGGGAUAAAGGCCUCGGGAACGUGGCUCCUCCGGGAGUGUUAUAGCCCGUGGCGCAAUGCCCCGCGGCGGACCGAGGUUCGCGCUCCGCAAGGAUGCUGGCGUAAUGGUCCCCAGCGACCCGUCUUGAAACACGGACCAAGGAGUCGUCUUCGUAUGCGAGUGUUCGGGUGGCAAACCCCUACGCGGAAUGAAAGUGAACGCAGGUGAGAGCUUCGGCGCAUCAUCGACCGAUCCUGAUGUCCUCGGAUGGAUCUGAGUAAGAGCAUACGGGGCCGGACCCGAAAGAAGGUGAACUAUGCCUGUGUAGGGUGAAGCCAGAGGAAACUCUGGUGGAGGCUCGCAGCGGUUCUGACGUGCAAAUCGAUCGUCAAACAUGGGCAUGGGGGCGAAAGACUAAUCGAACCUUCUAGUAGCUGGUUUCCGCCGAAGUUUCCCUCAGGAUAGCAGUGUUGAACUCAGUUUUAUGAGGUAAAGCGAAUGAUUAGGGACCCGGGGGCGCUCUUCAGCCUUCAUCCAUUCUCAAACUUUAAAUAUGUAAGAAGCCCUUGUUGCUUAGGUGAACGUGGGCAUUCGAAUGCAUCAACACUAGUGGGCCAUUUUUGGUAAGCAGAACUGGCGAUGCGGGAUGAACCGAACGCGAGGUUAAGGUGCCGGAGUGGACGCUCAUCAGACACCACAAAAGGCGUUAGUACAUCUUGACAGCAGGACGGUGGCCAUGGAAGUCGGAAUCCGCUAAGGACUGUGUAACAACUCACCUGCCGAAUGUACUAGCCCUGAAAAUGGAUGG